UACGUAGGGGGCAAGCGUUGUUCGGAAUUACUGGGCGUAAAGGGCGCGUAGGCGGCACGACAAGUCGGGAGUGAAAGCCCGGGGCUCAACCCCGGAGGGUCUCUCGAAACUGUCGAGCUAGAGUGCGGAAGAGGCAAUCGGAAUUCCCAGUGUAGCGGUGAAAUGCGUAGAUAUUGGGAAGAACACCGGAGGAGAAGGCGGGUUGCUGGGCCGACACUGACGCUGAGGCGCGAAAGCCAGGGGAGCAAACGGG
rnacentral:rRNA from 1 species